rnacentral:sRNA from 1 species
GUCAAUAACCCACGACUAAAGUCGCGGGCUUGAAAGAGCCUGUUGUUGACUAGCCUAAGUCCUUAACUGGCUACGUUACGCAAGAAUAUAUAGUUACCUACGGAUAUAUAGCCUAGUCUGUAGCUCUA